UACGUAGGUGGCAAGCGUUGUCCGGAUUUAUUGGGCGUAAAGCGCGCGCAGGCGGUUCGAAAAGUCCAUGGUGAAAGCGCCUGGCUCAACUGGGCGAGUGCCGUGGGGACUGUCGAGCUGGAGGGAAGCAGAGGCGAGUGGAAUUCCAGGUGUAGCGGUGAAAUGCGUAGAUAUCUGGAGGAAUACCGGUGGCGAAGGCGGCAUCCUGGACCGGCAUUGACGCUGAUGAGCGAAAGCUAGGGGAGCAAACGGG
rnacentral:rRNA from 1 species